GCCGGGGUGGUGGAAUUGGCAGACACGCCAGCUUGAGGGGCUGGUGCUAGCAAUAGCGUGCAGGUUCAAGUCCUGUCCCCGGCA
rnacentral:tRNA from 1 species